GACGAACGCUGGCGGCGUGCUUAACACAUGCAAGUCGAACGGAAAGGCCCUGUUCUUGUGGGGUGCUCGAGUGCCGAACGGGUGAGUAUCACGUGUGUAACCUGUCCUUGUCUUCGGGAUAACUUCAGUAAACUCGGGUGCUUACCGGACAUGAGCUCCUGCUGCAUGGUGGGGGUUGGAAAGUUUCGGCGGUUGGGGAUGGACUCGCGGCUUAUCAGCUUGUUGGUGGGGUAGUGGCUUACCAAGGCUUUGACGGGUAGCCGGCCUGAGAGGGUGACCGGCCACAUUGGGACUGAGAUACGGCCCAGAGUCCUACGGGAGGCAGCGGUGGGAAAUAUUGCACGAUGGGCGGAAGCCUGAUGCAGCAACGCCGCGUGCGGGAUGACGGCCUGCGGGUUGUAAACCGCUUUCGCCUGGGACGAAGCGUGAGUGACGGUAAUGGGUAAAGAAGCACCGGCUAACUACGUG
rnacentral:rRNA from 1 species